UGUUAAGUUAUUUCUUUAAUUUAAAGAAUUUUAUUGUUGUGUUGUUUAAGUAAAAUUUAUAGAAUAAAUUAUGUAAUUUAUAGUUAAUUAGUAUUGUGAAAGAAUAUUGAAAUAUGUUGAAAAUAUUAUUUGUGAAAAGUAGAUUGUGAAUUGUACCUUGUGUAUCAGGGUUAAUUAAUUAAUUAUUAUUUAUUUAAUAAUCCCGAUUUAAAGAGAGUUAAUAUAAUAUUUUAGUUAAUGUUUUAUAAUUAUUAAAAAUGUUGUGUUGGUAAUGAAAUGUUAAUCGGUCUUUAAUAUAUCUGGUUUUCUAAGAAUUGAAUUUAAUUCAGUUAUUAAUUUUUUAAAUUAUUAAUUUAAUUAAUAAUUUAUGUAAUUAAUAGUAGAAGUUUGGGGGAUAAGCUCUAAAUUUUAUUUUAAAAAUAUUUGAUUAUAAGAAAAAAUAAAGUAGGCUUUAAAUUAGCUUUCUUUGGAGUAUGUUAUAAUUCAUUUAUAAAUGUAUAUUAUAGUUAAUGAUUUUAUAAGUAAUUUAAAUAUUGUAUUAGAAUAAUUUUAAUAAUUAUUUAUAAUUUGUAAUAAUGAUUAAAUUAGUAUAAAAAUAAUUGUUUAAUUAAAUUAAUUUUUGGUUAAUUUGUAAUAAGGAAUUAGGCAAAAAUGAUGCUCGCCUGUUUAACAAAAACAUGUCUUUAUGUUUAAUUGAAUUUAUAAAGUCUGGCCUGCCCACUGAUUUAAUUGAAGGGCCGCGGUAUUUUGACCGUGCAAAGGUAGCAUAAUCAUUAGUCUUUUAAUUGGAGGCUGGUAUGAAUGGUUUAACGAGGUAUUAACUGUCUCAUUAUAAAAUUUUGAAUUUAACUUUUUAGUCAAAAGGCUAAAAUGAAAUUAGAGGACGAGAAGACCCUAUAGAGCUUUAUAAUAAAUUUAGAUAAUUAAUUUUAGUAGUUUAAUUUAAUUUUUUAAUAUUAUUAUUUAGUUGGGGUGACUUGAAGAUUAAAUAAACUCUUUAUUUAAUAAACAUUAAUUUAUGGAAAAUUGAUCCAUUAUUAGUGAUUAAAAGAUUAAGUUACCUUAGGGAUAACAGCGUAAUUUUUUUUAAGAGUUCUUAUCAACAAGAAAGAUUGCGACCUCGAUGUUGGACUAAGGAAUAUUAUUGGGUGUAGAAGUUUAAUAAAUGGGUCUGUUCGACCCUUAAAUCCUUACAUGAUCUGAGUUCAGACCGGCGCAAGCCAGGUCGGUUUCUAUCCUUAAUUAAUUAAAAUAUUUUAGUACGAAAGGACCAAAUAUUUAAAAAAUUUUUAAAAAUAUGAUUAUU
rnacentral:rRNA from 1 species